CCAUUGCUCUUCGAGUGUCGUCUUUUUCCUCGCGAUCACUCGACAAAGAAAACACUGUUAAUAAAUUUUGGAAAUUGUUUAAAAUAUUGGGCGAAAGUGUGACGUGAAAAAUUUCUUUAUGUUCUCGGCGUCGCGAAUUAUUCUACACAACUCCUCUUCUCUUGCACAACGCUGCCAUGACGCGCACGCACUUUUUCAGCACUGGUUCGUUUCAUCGUGAUCUCAAGGAAAGAGGAAGAGUAGACGAAGCAAAUGGUGGGGAUGGAAGAAGAAACGAGGGAAGAAGGAAUUAUUGCGCGACACGUCACGUGAGACUGUCGUCUGCCUUGUACAUAAGAAGCGGAACUGGACCGUGUGACACGCGCUUACGCACGUGGAACAAUGGAUGUUUCGUUCUAAAUUGCGUUUGAAGACACCAGGAAAUGCGAUAGAAAUUAAUCGAAAUCGUUGAUUUAAUUCAGUCGAAAGUUCUUACGACUUCUCGUCUUUUUUACUUCUAUCGGUUUUACGUGUUUUCUAAAGCUAAAGCUAUAGCUUUCUAACUUAGUGAAAAAUAAAAAAGAUCAGAGAAUUAUUUGUCUCUUUCAUGUCUAUGAAACAUGGUAAGCUUGGAAAUUGAUGGAGAUAAUUAAUUAAAUUUAAUCGAAAUUUCUUAAGAUUUCUCGCCUUCUGUUUCUGCAUUCGUAUAUUUUUUCAAGAAAUGCGACAGGUUCGGAAAUCAGUGGAAAUAGUGAAUUCUGUGCAGUGAUUCUAGGAUUACUUGAAUGCUUAAACUUUUACGAAUUUUUAACACUUUCGCAAGAGACAAACUCUGAAAUUAGUCGAGACAACUGUUUUAGUAUAAUUAGGUUAAUUCAGUCGAGGAUUUCUACGAUUUCUCAUACUUCGAUGAAUUUUCUAAAUUUUUGUCUCACUGAGUCACGUACUUUCACGUAUUAAUUAGCAAUGUUCUACAACAGUUUGAUCGCGUCGGUAAAAACGUUUCCGCUUAAUGCACUCGCUCCAAAGAAGUAACUAUUUCCUUCUAUCUAGUGGACAGGUAGGAUUUCUUGCUCUUACUAGUGCUGAUAGCAUAAACUGUUCUUAGUUUCAUAGAGUUCGCAAACGAAAACACUGGUUCGUAUUGUUGUAUACUUACUUUUAUGCUAUGCGCACACAUAUUAACGGGCGUUUAUUGCAGUAUAAGAUAUCGGGAAUUUAAACGAGUGAUGUAACACCGCUCGCUUCAAAGCUUUGUAAAUACAAAUCGUCUUCUAGUGUUUGUGGCUCUUGUCUAUGUACGUAAUUUGAACAAGUGUUCCAUCUCUAUUUGAGGCUACAUUUACGUAAUGCCAACGUAAUUUUUUUUACAACAGCUUGUAUCUCAUCGUUCGUACAUAGGUAACAAUGUUCGUUGGUCAAUUUUAACACUUUACUGACCGCUAGCGGUUCAAAAGUAUACGCGCGUCCGACCGGCAGCUCAGGCGCAGAUUCUCCCUGGCGCCGGCUCUGUUCCGGUUUAGACUCUCCAAUACCAUUCUUUUCGUUCAUCACGAUCGAAGGGAACUUUCUUUGUUUUACCUGAACCACGUUGGUGUUAGACUAGGCGUUCCUCUAAUACCGCAAUCGAGAUAUAAUCUUCCGUUUAUUCUGCUAGUUGUGUCUAAGAGGCUUCGGCUAAAUGACGGAUACGUUCUAGGCGAUGCGCUCCUAGUUCUGAUUGUUCUGGCAACCGACCCAAGUAAUUGACGAUCUUUUUGAACAAAUUAUCAAAAUUGUAAGAAUGAAAUAACAGGCGGGCACUGGCUUCGAUACGACCAUAAUCAUUCUCCACGAUCACUCUGUACAGUCCUGCGUCUUCUUGGGUCACUUCGACGAUUUCCAGUAUCUUUACGUCGUCUCUUUCUUUUAUCGAGAUUCUAGCGGUU